rnacentral:lncRNA from 11 species
CUCAGAGUCAGCCUCUGAUUCCAUGUUGCUGUACCUCUUGGACUUCUCUGCUCCUUUCUUCUCCUUCUGCUUGUGUAUCAGGAUUGGAAAGGAAUUGGAGGGAAGAUUCAAUCUGAGACGGGUGGAGAAUAAGUGUAAGGAAGGAGAGACCCUGCAAAUAUUGGUAGCGAUCUCAAUGGUACAGCCUGA